AUAAACUUCAUUUUUCUUGUCUUGAAACUGAAGAUCAACAGAAUGUUUAGCAUUCUCCAAGCUUUCAAAGAAACUUCACUUUUCUUGUCUUGAAACCAAAGAUCAACAGAACAUUUAGAAACGUUACAUUCAAGCCUACAAGACGUUAAGCAACAAGACUUUUGCAAAUCAAAUUCUCUUGCGAGAAUAUUAUACGGAGUUUUUCCUACUCCAGUGGCCGAGAUGAUAUGAUGGGACGCCCUCAGAGGCUGAUGAUGUUAUUAAACAUGUACCUAUGCACGACAUGGCAUUCAGACGCAUAUGACACUACAAUUAUUUCAUGAUUUACAAAGUUAUCCAGACUUACAGGGAUGCUAUGUUUCAUGCCCGCAGGUCCCAUAGAUAGGUCG